GGAAGCUAAGUUUCUGUGAAAUCAGCACAACUGGAAUGAGGCCAGGCUGCGAUGCUCCUGGGGUUCUGUGGUCAAGACAGCAUGAGAAGAGCCUGGUGAAAGGUUGGUGGCACCCAAUUCCAACUCAUUGAUGCACUGGCCUCACCAUAUGGUUUCUCAAUACUCGUUGUUCCUUCCCUGAGCCUCAGUUCCCUCAGCUGUAUCAUGAAAGACUUGGCUUCAGAAGACCCCAAGGGCACCCUUAUCAGAUGUGUGCAGGUUGUGCUGCAUGCUACAGCCAAGGAAGAGGAGCUCUCAAGGCCAGUGCAGGACAUUCUUCAAGCACGGCUUUUGGAAUUUAGAAUUUGCGGCCGGAAGCUAAACCCCACAGCUCUUGGCAUUCUUUUCUACUGAGCCCAAGAGCCUAGGCCUGUGCUUGCACACUCUCCCUCUGAGGGUCAAUAGCAACGGAGCCAUCCCUGACCCCCCACUGCCCUUGGGGGUGAGGUUCCUUCAGCCUCCCUCAGAUGCUGCAACUGGCUGCCAAGACUGGCUAGUGUGUGCACGGGUGGCAGAGGGCCCAGAUAUCCCCUGCUUUGCUCCCUCAGGCUGUCGCUGUUCCCUGGGGCCCAAUUAAGCCAGUGCUUUGUCCCUGGGCAGCAGAGGCGGGUGUCCCUGGCACUCUUCAGCUUCACACUCCAUCUCUUCAUCAGCUGUCGCCAGACAGCCCACAUAAUGUGGGGAUUUCAUGCUCAAUAUUCUUGAUGAAAGUGGAACAUCAAAACCUCAGCGGGGUGGACACAUGGAGACUAAGUGAGGCUCUCGCCCAAAGAGCUAUCAUCUCAGCAAAGGAGUCAGGAAAGCUCCUCUACCAGGCGGCCACGAACUCUUCUCGUCAUUAGUGCUGCUGUCUUUUAUUGGCUUCCCUGCAUCCGGGUAGAAAGAAUGUUAGCCCUUGCUUUUGCACAUGUGUGUCUGAGUGUGGACUCCCUUGGCUGAUAGCAAUCUCUGCCUCUUGUCAUACUAAAUAUUGAUCGGCGCUGUUGGGAGACGCCAAGGCUUUAAUCUUCUGGCUGCCGCUCCCUGAACACUGAUGUGGGUGUUGGGUUGGGGAAGAAGAUCAUAUUAUUUCUUCAUACACCUGUUUUGCCACUUGCUUCGCUCCUGCACAACACUUGGGCUAUUAAUGCCACGGGAAAUCGGCUUUCCUGUAAUGUCACUUUCUCUCUUCACUUUUCUGGUGUGCCAACCCCAGGCAGUCACCACCCACACAGCGCCUUAGGGCCCAGGCAAAGGAUAUAGGGGAUUUCAGUCUUUUUUUAUUUUUUGAUUCUCCAUUCAUUCAGUAAUUGUGUUAUCAAAUACUCAGGAAGUGUCUACUGCAGGACAAGCCCAGGGCUAGGUUCCAUGAGUGAACAGAUCCGUAGGGCAGAGUUUGAUACCCACUCAGAGGUCCCAGAUAAACAGAAACUGAUCUUGUGACAGUGUCAUCAGCGUGUGUCAGGAAAGUAGAGCAGCUAUGCAGGUGAUCCAGCAGGUGAAGCAGCUGCCUGAUUCUUCCCUGGAAGAAGUGAUCUUGAGUCUGGGUUUUGGAGCACACACUUUGAAACAAAUGAAUAGCCCUUAGAGGAGAGUACUGUCUAUUGCUAGUUAAAGCCCUGUUUUACCACUGAUCUCCAUGACCUGGGAUUAGGUCAUAGGCCCCAUCUGGCUUUCAUCUGUAUUUUUCAAGAUUGAGUGUGUGUGUGUGUGUGUGUGUGUGUGUGUGUGUGUGUGUGUGUGUUUAUAUGUGUACAUGUGGGUGCCUGUGGAAGCCAAAAGUAGUUGGAUCUCUUGGAGCAGGACUUAGAGAUGGUUGUGAGCCAUCCAUCAUGUGAGCUGGGAACUGAACUAUGCUUGUCCACAAGAGCUGCAAGCACUCUUUACCACAUACUCAUCUCUCUAGCUCAUCUGUCUUAAAAUGAAACAUCCUGGCAUGGCCAAGUGGUGCACCUCUGUAAUCCCAACCCUUGAGAGACUGAAGCAAGAGGACUAUGAAACAAGAGUUCAAAGACAGCCUGUACUACAUAGUGAGAGAUAUUUUCAGAGAGAGUGGGGAGGGGAGGGGAGGAAAGAAGGUAGGGUGGAAGAGAGGAAGGAAGGAGGAGUGGGGCAAGAGGAUGGCUUCAAGUCCUAGGCCAGCCUCCACUGUAUGUUGUGCUCUAGGCCAGAGUAGGGCUACAGUGUUAAACAAAACAAACAAAAAACGCUCUUUGUGGUGACACACACCUUUAGUCUCAGUACUCAAGAAGCAGGAGUGUCUCUGUGAGUUUGAGGCCAGCCAGGUGUAUGUAGUGAAUUCCAGUAUAGCUAGGACUAAAUAGAGCUUCUGUCUCAGAAAGAAAAGUGGGGAGAAUUUACUAUAGGACAUAGGGUUUCCUGGGUGGAAAGUGUCUGUAAUAAUAGAAAAAUGAGCCAGGGCCCAGAGCAUUGCGACAUUGACAGGAAGCUUCAGAAAGGAGUACAAACCUGCCAGUACUGGACUUCUGUCUGAAGUGGAAGGAGAAAGGAAAGUGCCUAAAUUGUCCUGGGCAAAAGAGGAGGCGUUUUCAUUUGUGGGAUGGAUGGCAUGAGACCUCUGGGACGAUCCAGUAAAGGGGGUCUCCAAAUCUCAGCCCAGGAGCCCACCCAGGGUGUGGCAGGUUUAUAAAGAAACUGACUCAGCAGGUGGGGCGAUUGCUUAGACUGGCUUAAAGCCUAGCUCCUCCUCCGAGGAGCUGGCAGACCUUGAACAAACCGCUCAAUCUUCAGUUUUUCACACUCUAAAAUGGAGAUAAUGACAGCACUGAUGUCACCGAGGUUGCAAUGAGGUAAUCAAUGGAGGGGACUUGGCCAGCAUCUACCAAAUGCCCCCAUGUCAUUGCUACUAAUGGCUGAGGUCACAGAGUCACUGAAUAGCAGAGCUAUAAUUCCAACUGAGGUUGGCUCAAAAAGCCGCCCCUUUGGUGGCCCCUGUGUCCUCUUGUCUCCUGCCUGCUUGCUGGCAUGGCCACUCAGCAUCUCUCUGGAGCUAUACUGAGCUAAGUGUCAGCUGGGACACUGGCUCCUUUCUGCUCACAGAGCUCACGAAGCCAGCUGCUGGGUUUCAGUGCUGAUUGGUAAAUGCUCCUAUGGAGAGCAGAACACAAGGCCCUCGGUACCCAGCCAACCAUCAGUAUUGCUGGGAGAAGGGAGUCAGGUUUUUCAAAACAGCUCUGAUAGCUCCCACCCAAUGCACACUCUACCCAUCUCCCCUCCUAAACAAAGCCCUAGUUUUACCCAUGACGGAACUGUCUAGCUUAAAGGCAGUUUCCUGGCCUUUUCUAUGACUACACGUGAUUCAAUUCUGCCCAAUGAGAUAGAAAAGGAAAUGUCACAUAAGACUUGUGGGGUAGCUGCUUAAAAGAAAGGUGAUUGAGUUUGGGUGUAUUCUUUUGCUCCUUUCUGUCAUGCAGAAUGGUGCUGUGGCAACUGAACCUCCAGCAGCUGAAGUGGGGAUUGGGACAGUGGGCUAGAAAGAUAGAAAUCUUGGCGGUCGCAGUGUCACGUCCCUAAACUUUCUUCUCCCAGGCAUGUUGCAUGUGAGAUUGCAAACCCUGUAACGUGUUUGUUGAGACAGGGUCUCUCUGUGGCUCUAGCAGGAUGUUGAAAUCAGAGAGACACACAUGUCUUUGCAAGUCUCCCUGAGUGCUGGGAUUAAAGGUGUGCACUGCCACACUGGACCAACACACACACACACACACACACACACACACACACACACACACACACACACACUUUCAGACACUAUCACUAUAUAGCCCUGGCUAUCCUAGAACCAGCUAUGUAGACCAGGCUGGCUUCUAACUCACUAUGUAAGCAAGAGCUCCCACUGUCUUUGCCUCCAGAGUACUAGGAUGAAAGGCUCCAGGUUGACUCAAACCCUGUGUUUUAAUAUGGUUCAGUUCCCUAUUCUGAAUUCAGUUCUGAUCUGACUCAGAAAAAUUUACAGGGAAGAAAUGAUUUGGAUGGGCUCUUGGGAUGAGUAAUUCUGUGAAGUGUUAACAUCCAUUAAAGGCAUGGGGGUUCAAAAUAUAUGGCAGAUGACAGCAUUUGCAAGGGUAACCAAGAAGAUAAACCACUCAUUUGAUACCAUGGGUCUCAGCCAUAAUGGAUUCCUGACAGUUUUUCGGUAGCUCUGUGGACUGACAGCCUCAGUUUGUUAACUAACUUUUCCUUGUUGCUGUUUUACUAAAUCAAGAUAAAUGUUAUUUUCCCUUUUGCUGAUGAGAAAACCAA